rnacentral:misc_RNA from 1 species
UGGUUCUGGCAUCGAUGAAGAACGCAGCGAAAUGCGAUAAGUAAUGUGAAUUGCAGAAUUCAGUGAAUCAUCGAAUCUUUGAACGCACAUUGCGCCCGCUAGUAUUCUGGCGGGCAUGCCUGUUCGAGCGUCAUUUCAACCCUCAGCUUCAGCUGGUGUUGGAGAUCGGCUUCAGCCGUCUCUAAAAUACAGUGGCAGUCUCGCCUGCUUCUUGCGUAGUACUUUUCUCGCAUGAAUUGAAGCGAACGCUAGCCGUAAAAACCCUCACUCUUUGCAGUGUACUUCUAAGGUUGACCUCGGAUCAGGUAGGAAUACCCGCUGA